rnacentral:lncRNA from 1 species
AAAUAACACAAUAUUUCAAUUGUAAAUUCGAGAGGGUGUUAAAGUGCGCAAACCGAGCGAACCAAUCUAUUGGUUCGUAUUUUAAGGAGAGAUGCGAGUCUUUAUCGAUCUGAAGCCUCCAGUAACUGCCCUAAGUCAUCCAACAGCUGCUGAAACACCAGGAAACACCACCGAGUGGCCAACGGAAAAGUUUCUCCGUUUCCACUUUUCUGCCCGAGACUGUAUCUACUUCCACAAUACACCAAACUGAAAUCCAACACCACCAGAAGGUCAGAAAUUCAUCAAGGAACAAUCUGUCUUUUUUGACCUCAGGCUGAAAACUUCUCACCCGCCGCCCUUGUUCUAUGCGUGUGGUCUCAUGCGCCACCUCCACCAUCAGUGCAUGUGCAACACGUGCUUCACCAAAGUGUUUUGCUUGACGUCUGGAGUCUUGUGAUGGUCUCCGUUAAUCCACCAGAUGUAUAGUUUUUCCAGAAAAUGGGUUCAAAGUUUCUGCUGAACUUGUUUUCAAACAAAAUCGAACCUCUUCGACUUCCAAUCCGAUUUUCAUGUUGUUUUAACACUUUUUACCACUAGCAUAUACUCUGAUACCAUUUGUAGAGUUUAAAGUGUAGUAUACAAAAGAUUAUUACAACUACAAUGCAGAAUAAUAAACUCUCAAAGUGUAAAACCGAACCAAACACGACUCAAAGUUUCUUUAACACCACCAAUGAAGUGUUCUUGAUGUUGAGCUCAGAUUUGUGCCACAUCGGAUCAUGCACCAUCGUCCAUGAGAAUGGCAAUGGAUAUACCGAGAAAUGAUCCGCCGGAAGCCACCAAGAAUUUCGCCAGAGUUAUGGAAAGCUCCCACUUGGUUACCUCUCUAUGCUCUCUCUCAAAUGUUAU